UUUUUCUUAAAUAGGCCCGUAAAUUUUUGCUGUAUUUUCUUAUUUAUUAUCAAUAUUUGAGCUUUUUAGUGGUGUUUUUCGUACUCAGCUUUCAAAUUUACCCUAUGUACAUCUAUUUCUAGUCAUUUUGUCUUAAUUUUUUUACCAGUUAUCUUUCUCUCUCUUGCCUAUAGGAACUGUCAAAAUGGUGAUAUUUCCUUCAGUAACCUGCUUUUUUCCCAUCAAAACACCCCCAUUUUCUUUGUAAAAUAUCAAUUAUGGGGUAUGGCUUGGGACCCUUUUUCUGAAGAAAUUACCAGUAUUAUUGGUUAUCAGUUGAAUUUUCUUCAUCGUAAACUAUGAAGGCUGGAAUAAGAACAUGUUCCUGUGUUAAACAACCUCAUACAGAGACCUUUCAUCUGAAGAAAUUGCCAGUAUUUGUGAUCUGCGGGUUUAUCUUCAUCAGAAGUUAUCAAUGCUGGAAUGAAAACAGGACAAAUCAAGGAAGGAGAAAUAAUCCUACGAUGAAGACCACACCAAGGCCUUGUUGGAUUUACAACUAAUCAAGGAAUACAAAGGAUUUUACAGCUCUUGAGCAAAAGUUUAUUCACAGUAUUCCCGUAAAUGGAAUGGACAAUUGACGCUGUCAGCAGCAUAGGCUACCAAUACACAUCAAAGAAUGGUCACCUAUAAUACAACUUUUUCCAGUGAUUUCAUGUAUUCUUUGUACUGAUUUGGUUUAAAAUAGUAGUAUGUAUGUGAUUUAUAUAAGAACUUAUUACAACUGUUCUUGCAUA